rnacentral:rRNA from 1 species
UACGUAGGAGGCAAGCGUUGUCCGGAAUUACUGGGUGUCAAGCGCGUGUAGGCGGCCGGCCAAGUCUGUGGUGAAAUCGCUCGGCUCAACUGGGCGGGGUCCAUGGAAACUGGUCAGCUGGAGGACGGUAGAGGUGAGUGGAAUUCCCGGUGUAGUGGUGAAAUGCGUAGAGAUCGGGAGGAACACCCGUGGCGAAGGCGGCUCACUGGGCCGGUCCUGACGCUGAGACGCGAAGGCGUGGGGAGCGAACGGG